AGCAGCCGCGGUAAUUCCAGCUCCAAUAGCGUAUAUUAAAGUUGUUGCAGUUAAAAAGCUCGUAGUUGAAUUUCGGGAUUGACCCAUCGGUCGUGCCUUAAGGGGCAUGAACUGGUGUAGUCAAUUUCUCACCUUCUGGAGAACCGUGAUGUCCUUAAUUGGGUGCCACGAGGAACCAGGACCUUUACUUUGAAAAAAUUAGAGUGUUUAAAGCAGGCAUUUUUGCUUGAAUACAUUAGCAUGGAAUAAUAAAAUAGGACGGCAUGAUUCUAUUUUGUUGGUUUCUAGGAUCACCGUAAUGAUUAAUAGGGAUAGUUGGGGGCAUUAGUAUUCAAUUGUCAGAGGUGAAAUUCUUGGAUUUAUUGAAGACUAACUACUGUGAAAGCAUUUGCCAAGGAUGUUUUCAUUAAUCUAAGAGCGAAAGUUAGGGGAUCGAAGACGAUCAGAUACCGUCGUAGUCUUAACCAUAAACUAUGCCGACUAGGAAUCAGACGAUGUUAAUUUUUUAAUGACUCGUUUG
rnacentral:rRNA from 1 species